rnacentral:rRNA from 1 species
CCUACGGGUGGCUGCAGUGGGGAAUAUUGCACAAUGGGCGCAAGCCUGAUGCAGCCAUGCCGCGUGUGUGAAGAAGGCCUUCGGGUUGUAAAGCACUUUCAGCGGGGAGGAAGGCGGUGAGGUUAAUAACCUCAUCGAUUGACGUUACCCGCAGAAGAAGCACCGGCUAACUCCGUGCCAGCAGCCGCGGUAAUACGUAGGGUGCAAGCGUUAAUCGGAAUUACUGGGCGUCAAGCGCACGCAGGCGGUCUGUCAAGUCGGAUGUGAAAUCCCCGGGCUCAACCUGGGAACUGCAUUCGAAACUGGCAGGCUAGAGUCUUGUAGAGGGGGGUAGAAUUCCAGGUGUAGCGGUGAAAUGCGUAGAGAUCUGGAGGAAUACCGGUGGCGAAGGCGGCCCCCUGGACAAAGACUGACGCUCAGGUGCGAAAGCGUGGGGAGCAAACAGGAUUAGAUACCCGAGUAGUC